GACGAACUGUGCAAACGUUAUUCGGAAUCACUGGGCUUAAAGGGUGCGUAGGCGGUCUUGUAAGUAGGGUGUGAAAGCCCCCGGCUCAACCGGGGAACUGCGUCCUAAACUGCGAGGCUUGAGUGAGGUAGGGGUGUGUGGAACUUCCAGUGGAGCGGUGAAAUGUGUUGAUAUUGGAAGGAACGCCGGAGGCGAAAGCGACGCACUGGAUCUCUACUGACGCUGAGGCGCGAAAGCUAGGGGAGCAAACGGG
rnacentral:rRNA from 1 species